rnacentral:rRNA from 1 species
UUAGUGGCGGACGGGUGAGUAACGCGUGGGCAACCUGCCUUACACAGGGGGAUAACACUUAGAAAUAGGUGCUAAAACCGCAUAAGCGCACAGCUUCGCAUGAAGCGGUGUGAAAAACUCCGGUGGUGUAAGAUGGACCCGCGUCUGAUUAGCUUGUUGGCGGGGUAGGGGCCCACCAAGGCGACGAUCAGUAGCCGGCCUGAGAGGGUGGACGGCCACAUUGGGACUGAGACACGGCCCAAACUCCUACGGGAGGCAGCAG